UACAGAGGUGGCAAGCGUUGUUCGGAAUUACUGGGCGUAAAGGGCGCGUAGGCGGUUCGUUAAGUCCUGUGUGAAAUCCCCCCGGCUCAACCCUGGGAUGCCGGUGGAUACUGUCGGGCUCGAGUCCGGAAGAGGAGUGUGGAAUUCCUGGUGUAGCGGUGAAAUGCGCAGAUAUCAGGAGGAACACCAAUGGCGAAGGCAGCACUCUGGGACGUGACUGACGCUGAGACGCGAAAGCGUGGGGAGCAAACAGG
rnacentral:rRNA from 1 species